rnacentral:rRNA from 1 species
UGGGGAAUAUUGGACAAUGGGCGAAAGCCUGAUCCAGCAAUGCCGCGUGAGUGAUGACGGCCUUAGGGCUGUAAAGCUCUUUUACCCGGGAUGAUAAUGACCGUACCGGGAGAAUAAGCACCGGCUAACUUCGUGCCAGCAGCCGCGGUAAUACGAAGGGGGCUAGCGUUGCUCGGAAUCACUGGGCGUAAAGCGCACGUAGGCGGACUCUUAAGUCGGUGGUGAAAUCCUGGAGCUCAACUCCAGAACUGCCUUCGAUACUGGGAGUCUUGAGUCCGGGAGAGGUGAGUGGAACUGCGAGUGUAGAGGUGAAAUUCGUAGAUAUUCGGAAGAACACCAGUGGCGAAGGCGACUCGCUGGACAAGUAUUGACGCUGAGGUGCGAAAGCGUGGGGAGCAAAC